rnacentral:lncRNA from 1 species
GAAAGCAUAACACGCCUUUGUGGCACUGCAUGAAAAUUUCUUGCAGCAUAGCUUAAAGAAGACAACCAAAGGCGUGAUGAGCAGCUGUGAGGACAUCAAACAAUUCUGCCUCCUACUGAAGAAAUACUAGAGAAUUUCUUUGUGUUGAGUCCUCGCUGCCUCUUGAGGUGCUGAAUCUUAGCCUGAAGCUACAUGCUACACAGUCCAUUCAUCAAAACCAUGACCCUCUUCAGUCAGGGACAGGAUGCUAUGGACUAAUGAACUCAGUGCAAGGGGGCUGCGGAGAGGUGUGUUGACACGAAGCUAGGAGAAAGUCAAAGUCGGGACUUCCGAGAGGCUUCACUUGAGGCUUUGUUUGCAAAGUUGCCGUCCUCUGUAGACAGAUAAAGCCCUGUCCUCUGACGUCAGGCCAGCAGGAG